rnacentral:rRNA from 1 species
GAUAAACGCUGGCGGCGUGCCUAACACAUGCAAGUCGAACGCCCUUUUGCGCAAGUGAGAGGGAGUGGCGGACGGGUGAGUACCACGUGGGUACCUACCUUGAGGUGAGGAAUACCACCGAGAAAUACGGUGACAAGACCGCAUACGCUUGGCAACAAGCAAAGUCUCGCAAGAGACGCCACAAGAUGGGCCUNCGCCUGAUUAGCUAGUUGGUGAGGUAAUGGCNCACCAAGGCGACGAUCAGUAGCUGGUCUGAGAGGAUGAUCAGCCACACU